CUCGGAGGGAGUACGUUAUUUACUAUUUUGUGUCCUGUGCUGCUAGUGUGUUAGGAAGCACCUCACAUGCAUGUUUUUAUCCAGAGGAUAGGAAUUACUUAGCAGGCAACUGGAAAGGGAGCGAACUAAUUAAAAUACAAGUUUAUAUAUACUUGAUAGUAAUAUAAGAUCGUGGUCAACGCUUCACAUAUUAUUUCGAGCAUACAACACAGCCCAAAUUAAGUCUUAUUUAUUUAUUAUUCCUCCUGACCGACCGCCACGGCGGCGGCGGCUGGGAGUCGUGAACUGCGCAGACGACGAGCACGGACGGGAGGGCCGGAGAGGUAGGGUAUCACAUCGAUCAGCGAUGGCCGCCGCAGCAGAUAGGAUUGACAGUCUGAGGGCCCGAGUUGGGCAUCGGCGACCCCGGCGUCGACGAUCCCAUGCGGAGUAUCCUCCUUCCACUCCCAGCCGCCUCCGCCUCUCCUCCCUGCCCGGCAAUGGCCGCGCCACCGCAGUGCAGCGCCGCGAGAAGCAGCAGGGCUAGCAGCAGCAGCCUGACGCCGGCGGCAGGAAGACGAAGACCAGGGCAGCCAAAGGUGAUCAUACCGUCGAUAUUGGACAGCUAAGCUAGCUACUUCGUCUACUUGCUUGCUGGUGGUGUGUUUCUCCC
rnacentral:lncRNA from 1 species